rnacentral:rRNA from 1 species
UACAGAGGUCUCAAGCGUUGUUCGGAUGCAUUGGGCGUAAAGGGUGCGUAGGCGGCGCGGUAAGUCGGGUGUGAAAUCUCGGAGCUUAACUCCGAAACUGCAUUCGAUACUGCCGUGCUUGAGGACUGGAGAGGAGACUGGAAUUUACGGUGUAGCGGUGAAAUGCGUAGAUAUCAGGAGGAAUACCGGUGGCGAAAGCGACUCUCUGGACGGCAACUGACGCUGAGGCACGAAAGCGUGGGGAGCAAACAGG